rnacentral:rRNA from 1 species
UACGUAGGGUGCGAGCGUUAAUCGGAAUUACUGGGCGUAAAGCGUGCGCAGGCGGUUUUGUAAGCCAGAUGUGAAAUCCCCGGGCUUAACCUGGGAAUGGCAUUUGGGACUGCAAGGCUGGAGUGUGGCAGAGGAGACUGGAAUUCCCGGUGUAGCAGUGAAAUGCGUAGAUAUCAGGAGGAACACCGGUGGCGAAGGCAGGUCUCUGGACAGUUCCUGACACUGAGACACGAAGGCCAGGGGAGCAAACGGG